GACGAACGCUGGCGGCGUGCCUAAUACAUGCAAGUAGAACGCACAGUCUAUACUGUAGCUUGCUACACCAUAGACUGUGAGUUGUGAACGGGUGAGUAACGCGUAGGUAACCUGCCUGGUAGCGGGGGAUAACUAUUGGAAACGAUAGCUAAUACCGCAUAAUAUUAAUUAUUGCAUGAUAAUUAAUUGAAAGGUGCAAUUGCACCACUACCAGAUGGACCUGCGUUGUAUUAGCUAGUAGGUGAGGUAACGGCUCACCUAGGCGACGAUACAUAGCCGACCUGAGAGGGUGGUCGGCCACACUGGGACUGGGACACGGCCCAGACUCCUACGGGAGGCAGCAGUAGGGAAUCUUCGGCAAUAGACGAAAGUCUGACCGAGCAACGCCGCGUGAGUGAAGAAGGUGUUCGGAUCGUAAAGCUCUGUUGUAAGAGGAGAACGGGUGUGGGAGUGGAAAGUUCACACUGUGACGGUAUCUUACCAGAAAGGGACGGCUAACUACGUG
rnacentral:rRNA from 1 species